CUUAACAGCAGUAAGGAAUAUGGUGGAGAGACGGCGGGAGCUGACGUUUCACACUUCCCGCUGUUGUUGGUGGGUGGGUACGCGCACUUGAUUUUUCCCCCAUCAUCACGACGAUCCAUACGGGCCGCUGUGAUGCUGUGCUGGGAAUUUCAAAGGAGGAAGGGUCGACAAUCUCUGGUUCUCACAGAAGGAGAAGGAGAACUGGAGAAGUAGGAGUAAAGAAGCUCUUUAAGACUCCUUAAUCUCAAAAUCGCACGCAUUGUUCUCCUUGUAUCCAUCCAAUCAUAAGAGUGCUGCAUCUCUCGGAGCCGUGGUUAGUUUUGCCCUUUCUAUAAUUUUUACAUGGAGGUUCUUGAGAGCAAGAAAACUCAUCAUAAUCAAGAAUUAGGAUCUGUGUCUGUGGAGGAUCAGUUAUCCAUUUCUUCAAAGCUCUCGCUGCAAUAAACUGUGCAAGCGAAAUUAAAUGGUGGUCGAAAGAUGACUUGUUGAUUACUGUGUUUUGUUAGUGUAGUCAGAAGGAGCCGAAACUGAUGCCAGAUGAUAUGCUUUUGUAGGAUCAUGUAACUGUCAGGGAAUCUGUGGUGGAUGUGCUGUUGGAAAUAAGUAAAUAUUGUGAUAUCUAUCUUAUGGAAAGAACUCUUGAUGAUGAAAGUGGGUUAAGUAGUAAAUCAUGGUCAUCUUGAAAUCCAUCUGGUAUCAUUUCAUCAAAUAACCAGUUGAUGUAUGCUGAUUGUUGCAUUAGCUUUGUGUUUUGCAUUUCUAUAGCAGAAUCUGGAACUUAUUAAUUACGUUGAUUUUCUUAAAAUCUAACAUGGGUAUAAUAGUUUGUUGUAGUGUCAAUUGGAAGUGCAUGAGUAACUGGCUAACUGCCUUUAGAACUUAUAUUACCCUAGCAGAGGAAUGUGAAAGAAAGUGAAUCCUUUUUAUUUUCAUUUUUAUGAAGUUUUCAAACUUACAUACUCUCUUCUGACCAAGGAAACUUGGAGAAUGGAAAACUGCAAAAGUUGGUCAAUGGAAUCCGUAUAUCUAUUAUCAAAAUUAUAUAUAACAAUGCACUGUCAGUACAGACUAUGAAAAUCAAACUCCCUAAUUAUCGCUGUAAUGGGCACAGAAUAGAAGAACAUUGACUAUUGUAUGGGUUUAGCUAACUAGUGAGAAUAAUUGAAAUUUUCAUGUAUUCUUUCUCUAUCCACCUUUUGGUUUAAUUUUAGUUGUUGGUUGCCAAGGUUCAUUCUCUGAAAAUGGAAUUGUUUAAGAUAUGAAACUGGAUUUUGAUUUUCUUCCAGGACAUAAGUUGAUAAAUUGGCUAUAAGAUAUUUCUCAUUAUUGUCCCUCUUUUAUUUGUAUCUUACUUCCAACACCUUUCUAUUAUCCUUGUUCUACCUUGUUGAACGCCAUGUUUCAAACUACUAUAAUACUUUUAUUUUACUUUUGAGAACACCAGGCGCUUGUCCCCGCUUGCGUUUGCCUGCAUGUUAUAUCAUAUACAUUACAGCUAUUAUACCCUUAGAUUGGCAGUGAAUAAAAAUAUUACCGAUUGAUGGUUCAUUUGAAGUGGGUCCUAAGAGUGAAAAUUCAAUUAGAAACGAGGCGAGGGAUUCUUCUGAUAAAUUAUUGACCGCUAGAUAGCUGGGAGUACUGGUGUUGCAUGCAACUCAUAAAACCGCUAAAUGAUCAAGAUGUGGGCAUACUUGAUGGACCCUGAUGUGUGCCCAUCGUGACAAAUCUCUCCAAAGCAUUCUAUUUACUACUAUUAUUUUUCCUCCCGCAUAUGUCUUAGUGUAUGUAAUGAGAUUGGCAAUUAAUGAUGUUAAAAAUCAAUUCAAUUUUUAUAAGUUGGAUGGGUCUUCGUCUCUAAGAUGGUUUUGCAAUAUAACAUUGUAUAACGGUAGAUGUGUUGGUGUGAAUGAGUGGUUGCAUUCAAGUUUGGCCCUCAACACGUAGAAUGGGGAAAAAAUGAUUCCUAUAGUCAGCCUAGGCUUGUUUUACUGAGUGAGAGUUAUUGAUAUGAUUUUUCAAUUUUAUAUUUUUACCAUAGCUUUCUAAAAGAUUUUCGUGUACUCGAAAGAACCUUACCUAGAUUUUGUCCUAUAUUCUUUUAGGGAAAGUCUAUACAAACAUGAGUUUUACACGUAGUUUUAAAACAAACUGAUGUGGCAAGUGACUUGUGUUACUACCACUUGCUAGAAGCCAAGUGAAUAUUUUUUUUUCAGUUUCCCGCUAGUUUGAAUUCAGAGGUAUGCACAUCAUCCAUUAACGCUUAGUUGUUUGCUCCA